AUCAAACAGUCUCCAACAUUGAAGGAAUUCAGCCAAGAAGUUGAUACAACAGGAAACACAAGCAGAAUCAGCUGCAUCUCUAAACAUCCAGGGAGUAAACAAGAGGUUAUGAAAUAUCCAUGCUCUCCUAUUCUAUCAUCCACUGGACUGACCGAUGAUUGGAAAGUGGAUGUUGAUGCCUGUGAUGUUUCUGUACAAGGUUCUCACAGUGGGGGACCUACAGUUCAUAAAAGUUGUGAAGGCUUGGAGAUACACCAUCUGACUUUAGAUCCUCAUAGUGAUGUUUGCCCUCAGGCUCUGUCAACAGGAGACAUGCCAUCUGAGACUCAUCUAGUGGGUACAUCCAUUUAUAAUGAUGGUGUUGAAACAGAGAGAUUUGGUAGAGAGCGUAGCUCUAAGAUAGACUUUGCAUUACAGAAACCUGCUCAUGCUAUUAGUCUGGGACCCAGUAUCAUUAACCAUGUUCCAAUGGAUGCACAGGCUUUGGAGGAAUGUAUGGUUGCCACGCCAACACAAAUGGAAGAUUCACUACAAACUCACACUGACCAAGAUAGAUGUCUGUCUGGAGUAAACCCAUCAGAGGGUCCAUGCUGCACUGGUUUACAAAAGCUUUCAACACAAACUCCAGCGCACAAGUGGGAGCUCCAGACACUUAUAAGGCAGGACAGAAACGAUACGUUACCAGUACUCUCGCCAGCAGAGGAGAGUGUUUCUGAUAAAGAGAAUGAGGAUAUCUCAGAGGAAGAUGUUGUGGGAAGCGGGGAACACAAGAGGCCCAGGGGGGAAAGGCAGGAGCAAGGGGGGGUCCAAACCCCUGAGGCCGAAAAAAGGGCAAUUUGAUUGGACAAUGCCAAUGAUCCCAUUUGAAAAUCUGUGUGACUCCAGAGGAAAGAGGCAAAUUAAUUUAUUUAGUGAUGAGAGUGAAGUGUCUUUUGAGUUUGAGAAUGAUUACCUGGAUCAGAAAGCACAGAAUAAAAUGUCAAGCGGAUUGAAAUUGGUUGGUAGUCAAAAAGAGUUCACACCAGCAUUAAGCUGUUCUAGAAAAUCCUUCUGUGGAUCGCCAAUACCUGGAUUCACAGCGGGGAAGUUCAAAACUGUUCCCAUACCCCAGCUCUGUUUGAGUCCUGUUAGUUGUAAGAAAGGUGGUAGAGUUAAUCCUGAGAUGAAUAAACUUUUACACAUGGAAAGCAAAGUUUUAUCAAAUUUGAGUAACCCUGCCGGUCAGGGCAGUGGCAACAAGAGUGUGGUUGCAGGAGACAUACUUUGUGAUGGAAGCUCCAGCAACACACAACAGAUUGCUCAGCUGGAACUUAAUCUGUCUAGCCUGAAGGGCUUGAUCUCAAACCUGGAAUCUUAUCUAUCAGAGACAUGGACAGACCCGUUAGACGCGGACACAGAUGCAUCUGCUGAGUGUUCCUGCCAUGAUCAGUCUCAUAGCUCUCCUGUUGUAAUGAACCACCCAACCGACAGUGACAGCAAACAACCAGUCAUCACCGUGUCGGAAUAUGGGAGAAGACCAGUAAGUGACAAUGAGCAGCCACAGUUACAUCAGGCAAUGCUUCAGGAUGAUUUCCGAGUUGCCACAGGAGAAUGCCAGGAUCCACUACUUGUAGAUACCAGCAGUAAGUCGGAGCAGAAGAGGACCGGGCCAAAAUGGAAUGAGUCUCUCAAAGGUGUGUCGAUGAACCAGUCCUACGAUGUGGAGGCACCCUCCGGGCUGUUGCUGCAGGCUCAGCUCAGUGGUGGGAAGCAAUGCACUCCAUGGACUGACUGUCACGGUGUGGCUUUUCAUGCCAAACGAAGACUCGUCAUGAAGUCGGUGGACAGAAAUUCUUCAACUUCACCGGAUCAAACAUCUGGCAUUAUAGGAAAGUCCCCGUCCAGCGCUGACAAAGGUUCAGGAUUCAAACCCAGUUUCUGCUAGGAGCAGCCCUAAGACUGGGACCUGCUUUCUCCACUGGCUUGCAGUCCCACACAUCUCAGUUCAUCAAUUCUAGCAACAAGGGUCCUAAUGUUCUCCCCUGCUGGGACCCCGUUAUUGCUGCUUGCGGUUCUGUUUAUUUGUUUUCUCCUGCUGCUUGCGGUGAUGUUUAUUUGUUUUCUCCUGCUGCUUGCAGGUUUCAUCCAAAAGCAGUGGAGAUGUGGUCAGAAGCUGGAGAUGAAGCUGGGGAAGUAAAGAGGUCAUGUCCUUUAAAACCAUCACUGUGCCCAGGAGUACCUCAGCUGACUUGUCUAAGUGAGCAUGCCAACUUUUCCUGCUCAGUAGAACUCCUUCGUAGGUGACUGGAUUGAGAAUCUCACUGGAUGGAGAUGCUUUAAAAUACUGCAAAGUUGGAAUGUCUGCUGUUAAAAUCAUUUUCGUUCUUUCACUCUUUUUUUGUACAUAUACUGUUAUGGUUUGCUUCAUAUUUAAUGUCAGAUUGUUUUUAAUAAAGUUAUUUUUUAAUUUAUUGUGUUUGCA
ensembl:lncRNA